GCUCGCUAUGACACGCGUUGAUUUAUCAUAAAUGUGAACCGUUUCUUGCCCAUUCGCUUUGUCAUACGCUUUUAAUUGCUGCUUUUAAUGAUCGUCAUGGUUGUACCUUAAAACCGGCGUUCUGGUAAUAAACCUUUUUCUGUAUCCGGUGCAAUGUUCGGUCGAGAUCUAGAAUCGAGAUCUAGAAACUUCUUGAGGUUAUAAAGUUAUGUUAAUAAAUCUGGUUCUUUUCCUCUUCUUUUAAUCGUAUUUACAACUUCCAUUUCUGUAUUAUUAUGAAUUGAUUCUAUGUUGGGAUGAUGGUUACAAAAGUUCCUUUGAAAAUACUGAUCCAACUUUUGAUGACUUUUGAAUUCGACACAUUCCCUACUUAAGCGAUCUGAUCGUGUGUUAUAAAUUUUGUUGAACUAUUUUCACUGCUAAUUUUCAGUAUUUGCAACUCCAGACUAUGACCGUCUACAACCUUCAGUAACCUUUGUCUCACCUUUCAGAACCUAGCAAAUGUUAUCUCCCUAAAGAUAAACUAGUACGAUAAGCAUAACAGGAUACUAAAUAUUACAACCUAACCUUACCAACACUAAGCUAUAAAUAUCGUAGAAAUCUAAACCUUUAAGGUUAGAAACUUCACAUCGAUCGUUACCAAAUAUUUCAAGUUCUCACACUAUCACUAAACACUAAUUUAUUCCUUUAAAAGUACCACAUAAAUCUCACAAAUUUACAUUUUCCUCGAAUUUCGAUAGACGAGCACCGAACAGCACUUACGCCUAACAAAUGGGAAAAGUUUUUUCGAUUCCAUUGUGAAAGAGAAAGCGAUAAGGCCGAGGAAAAAAGAACGUGAAAUUAACAACGGACUCGUUAUUUGAAAGGAAAAGGUGCAAGGGACACGUCUGAAGCCCUCGAGACCAGAUUAGACACGGCUCAGUGGAAAUGAAGAAGGAAAAGAAAUAUAUGGCGUCAAAUAUUUAACUUAGUGUGUUGUACCAUCGAAAUUGGGAUAAAGAGAGGGGAGGUUGAAUUGUGGAGGGUGUUAAGAUUUGCAGGAAAAGAGAUUCGUUGAAGAUCGUUUACGAUCGACAAAUACAAGGGAUCCAAUUACUAAUGACCAAGUGCUUAAACAAAGAUGGCUUUCUGAAGCAUUGACUAUAUAUCAGCUCUCUAAAUAUUAAAGAAGAAUAGAAACCACUUGAUCCAUAUUUGACAGAUAUUGGUUCAAAUAUCAAAUUCGAGCGAUCUGAUUGGUCGAUGCUUCCUCAUUGGUGACUAAUUUAAAGAAUUCUAAUUCUUAUGAAGUAUAUUUAAAAUCUUUACUAUGUUGGAAUUUAUUUGCAAUUAAUACAUACGAUGUUGAGGGUGAACAAAUGAAAAUCUUGGUCGGACGGACUAGGACGGAUAAGCGAAUACUGCUUGUUUCUUUUUUUUUUUUUUUUUAAAUUUGCAUUUGGUAGUGCUUCACCGUCCUACGGUCUUGUCAAACCAAAAUUUCUUUUUCCAAAAGACAAAACUCCCUAAGGGCAAGGCAAGUAACAUGUAUGCGCAUGACACAUACGUAGUAAGUUUCGAGUAUCGACCUUCGAUGCAACGACAACCCUUCCUUACGGUGCAUCAAUUCGCCUCGAUGUUCUCCACCCAAGCACGAACGACGUUUCAUGAACCGUGAGUUACGACGAUAAGAGAAAGUUCCGCGCGAGGCGCGACGCUUGAAAAUAUGGCGGGACCGCGUUUAUAUGCUGCACAAGGAGAUUCCACGCGAGAAAGGGGUCUGCCAUGCCGGCGAGUCUGAAACCUUUUAAAAAUAUCCAACGGCCGAAACGAAUGGCACAGCACGGCCAGACGACCGAAAUAGAAAGUCGGACUGGGCGA